rnacentral:rRNA from 1 species
CCCUUAGAUGUUCUGGGCCGCACGCGUGCUACACUGAGUGGAUCAGCGGGUCAGGUUGCGCGAAAGUGUUUCCUAAUCUUUAAAUCCGCUCGUGAUGGGGAUUGACGGUUGCAAUUUUCCGUCAUGAACGAGGAAUACCUUGUAAGCGCGGGUCAUCAUCCCGCGCUGAAUACGUCCCUGCCCUUUGUACACACCGCCCGUCGCUCCUACCGAUUGAGUGGUCCGGUGAGGCUUUGGGAUCUGAGCGGAAAGAGCGUUUCGCUGUUUCUGCUCGGAAAACUCAGUCGAACCUCAUCAUUUAGAGGAAGGAGAAGUCGUAACA